AUUGAACGCUGGCGGCAUGCCUUACACAUGCAAGUCGAACGGUAACGGGCCUUCGGGUGCCGACGAGUGGCGAACGGGUGCGUAAUACAUCGGAACGUGCCCGAUCGUGGGGGAUAACGAGGCGAAAGCUUUGCUAAUACCGCAUACGAUCUACGGAUGAAAGCAGGGGACCGCAAGGCCUUGCGCGGACGGAGCGGCCGAUGGCAGAUUAGGUAGCUGGUGGGAUAAAAGCUUACCAAGCCGACGAUCUGUAGCUGGUCUGAGAGGAUGAUCAGCCACACUGGGACUGAGACACGGCCCAGACUCCUACGGGAGGCAGCAGUGGGGAAUUUUGGACAAUGGGCGCAAGCCUGAUCCAGCCAUGCCGCGUGCAGGAUGAAGGCCUUCGGGUUGUAAACUGCUUUUGUACGGAACGAAAAGCCUUCUUUUAAUACAGGAGGGUCAUGACGGUACCGUAAGAAUAAGCACCGGCUAACUACGUG
rnacentral:rRNA from 1 species